GUUCGUGCAGCUGUCUCUUGUGCUUGAUCUAACCAUGUGGCCCCGCCUACUGUGGCAUCACAUGGUUCCGUCAAGCGCCAGGGACCGCCGAGCACAC
rnacentral:pre_miRNA from 13 species